GCUGGGUGUGGUGGUGCACACCUGUAAUCCCAGCUACUUGGGGGGCUGAGGCAGGAGAAUCGCUUGAGCCCAGGAGGCGGAGGUUGCAGUGAGCCGAGAUCAUGCCACUGCACUCCAGCCUGAGCAACACAGCAGGACUCUGUCUCAA
rnacentral:SRP_RNA from 1 species